GAGGCGGCAACAAGCCGGAGACGAGAGCUCGUCGAGUCGUCGUCGACGAGCUAAGCUAUCAUCAGCAUCAGCAACGGCCGAUUGCUGAGGUGGACCGCGCCGGGCUGUGGAUUACGGGGCAGUUCGUCUUUGGCACAAAGGCGCGAGAGGAUUCAGAAGUUCGGUUCGCUUCAGCUAGCAGCACGCGUGCCAAAGGAGAAUUGCCCUGCGAUCCGCCCUGCGCAGGAUCCGAUUGCCUGCAGAUGCCGUUUCCCUUGACCUACAUGGCUGCAUGCAUGUGUGAGAGAGAUCCGAGUGGCACCUGCAAUCCUGCUGCAUGUGCAGAAUCGCCCCGAGAUUCAGCUUCAGAUUCAGUACGUUACUGCUGUGUGCAAGUGUGUUGCCUAUGGUGCUGACCUGCGUGCGUGUGGGAUCGAUCUGCUUCUUCCUAGUCUGCUGACUUCGACUCGGAUGCAUUCAGAUGACGAUGGUGUAGGCGUGUAGUAGGUGUAGGUGCCCGGCCCGUUGCAGCAUCUAUGAUCUGUGUUAUUCUGUACGGCAUCUGAUCCACAUAAAUACUA